UACGUAGGUGGCAAGCGUUGUCCGGAUUUACUGGGCGUAAAGAGCGCGCAGGCGGUCGUUCAAGUCGCGUGUGAAAGCCCCCGGCUCAACUGGGGAGGGUCACGCGAUACUGAUCGACUCGAAGGCAGGAGAAGGUAGUGGAAUUCCCGGUGUAGUGGUGAAAUGCGUAGAUAUCGGGAGGAACACCAGUGGCGAAGGCGACUACCUGGCCUGUUCUUGACGCUGAGGCGCGAAAGCUAGGGUAGCAAACGGG
rnacentral:rRNA from 1 species